UUGUAAAUGCGAUUUCAUAGUUUACAUUGUGUCUCUUUCGGUUCAAUAUCAAUUAAUAAUACAUUAACUGGUCCGUGAACGUCCAUGGUGUUGUUUGGUGUAUCUUCCAUUCCCUUUGAGGUUGCGGAAGAAAACAUACUAAUACCAUGGGCGUUUGGUUCUAUCAGUGUGUUAACUUUUAUUGAUCUGAAGGCUGAAACACAACCAUUUAGUGAUUUGGUGAUUUUUUGUGGAAACAUUCCUAUCAGAAAUUAUCAACAUGUUUCUCUUCCAGUUCAACAUCAAUUAAUACUCUUAUUCAUGUAACCAUAGUCUUCUUAUGUUCCAAAUGAGGGUGUCCUGUUUGAGAUCUUCCCUUGAAUAUUUAGGGUGACCUUGGCUUUGUGAUUAGUGUGUUAAAUGUUUUUGAUUUGGAAGUUUGAAACAAAAACAAUUUUGUGCCCUUGAAUUAGAUAAAAGUUAGUUUAUUUGACCAGUUAAUUUCAUUUACUAGUUUUAUUAAUUGUGGUUUGUGGAUUAAAUGAUUAUAUGGUUAGUGAUAUGAUGAAUGUUUGGAUUGUAG
rnacentral:lncRNA from 1 species